rnacentral:rRNA from 1 species
GGGGGGGGGGGGGGGGGGGGGGGGCGCGGGGGGGGCGGGCGGGGGGGCCGGGCGUGGGUGGGGUGCUCGGGGGGCGAACGGGGGAGUAACCCGUGAGUAACCUGCCCUUGACUGUGGGAUAACUUCAGGAAACUGGGGCUAAUACCGGCUAGGAGCUCCUGCUGCAUGGGGGGGGUUGGAAAGUUUCGGCGGUUGGGGAUGGACUCGCGGCGUAUCAGCUUGUUGGUGGGGUAGUGGCUUACCAAGGCUUUGGCGGGUAGCCGGCCUGAGAGGGUGACCGGCCACAUUGGGACUGAGAUACGGCCCAGACUCCUACGGGAGGCAGCAGUGGGGAAUAUUGCACAAUGGGCGGAAGCCUGAUGCAGCAACGCCGCGUGCGGGAUGACGGCCUUCGGGUUGUAAACCGCUUUCGCCUGUGACGAAGCGUGAGUGACGGUAAUGGGUAAAGAAGCACCGGCUAACUACGUG